AAGAAAUCCACAAAAAUAUUUAGAAACCAAACAUUGUUGAAAAUAUAUUUUUUGUAUAUGCCGUAAUCUCGUAAGUUGAUUUUACAUCAUGCAAAUUAAUAUUAAAUGAGUUAAAAUUAAUAAAUGAA
rnacentral:sRNA from 1 species